rnacentral:rRNA from 1 species
UGGGGAAUUUUGGACAAUGGGCGAAAGCCUGAUCCAGCAAUGCCGCGUGUGUGAAGAAGGCCUUCGGGUUGUAAAGCACUUUUGUCCGGAAAGAAAUCCUUGGCUCUAAUACAGUCGGGGGAUGACGGUACCGGAAGAAUAAGCACCGGCUAACUACGUGCCAGCAGCCGCGGUAAUACGUAGGGUGCAAGCGUUAAUCGGAAUUACUGGGCGUAAAGCGUGCGCAGGCGGUUUGCUAAGACCGAUGUGAAAUCCCGGGCUCAACCUGGGAACUGCAUUGGUGACUGGCAGGCUAGAGUAUGGCAGAGGGGGGUAGAAUUCCACGUGUGAGCAGUGAAAUGCGUAGAGAUGUGGAGGAAUACCGAUGGCGAAGGCAGCCCCCUGGGCCAAUACUGACGCUCAUGCACGAAAGCGUGGGGG